AUUGAUAAAAUUUAAUGAAGAAGGUUAAGAUUUGUAUUAAAUAUCCAAUAAAUGGAUAUUUACCAGAUUUAUAACUCAUUACACCUAAAUUAUCAGUAAUGCAUACUGGAACAACUGUGCAAUAAUUCGAAUGAAAUUUUACAGAAGUUUGCUAAAUUACAGGUUUUUGUCAGCUUAUCUGGAAAUCUUAGGACAUCACUGAUAUGAUCAAAAACUCAUCCAGCGUGAAGACCAGCCAUGUGCCUCACUUGUCAUGACAUCAUUAAAGCACCUGACUGUGGGAAGAUGGGAUUUAAAACAUGACAUGGCUCUGUAUUAUUGCAUCAAAGACCAAUCCAGGUUUACGUAUAAAGUGAAGGAAAACAGUCAAGCAUCAUUUGGAGCCACGUGUACAUAUGUAACUGCCUAGGCGCCUUCACAAUAUGUCCUGUUAUUUAAGAAAUCACAGUGACCAGUUGUACCUAUGAUGUCGGACGAGGUCCCGAUAAAAACUUCUGUUGCACUCAUCACUAACUGCAAAGAAAUGAAAUUUUUAAAUGACUAGUAUCAACACUUUUGUACUAAAUCUGGCUUGUAUUUUCAGAUCUUGUUAGCCUUUAUUUUCCUUCAAACAAAAUUUUAUAAGUACUAACCUGCAGGUGUAAAAUGUUUGAAACAAUUUGCAGCAGUUGAUUCACUUGAUUGAGGUCACAAUUCCACCGGCAAAGAUUACAUUGGGUAUUUGUAGCUGAAUGGUGCCAAAUAAAACACUUUUCACAAGAACCUGGCAAAUGUAUUAGAGUGGAAGUGAGCAUCUACACAAAAAAUGAAUACUUUCUCAAAUAUUAACAGUGAUAUAUUAUGCCUGUGUACAUCCUUAAUAUAUUAAUAUAUAACUAAUUACACAAGUAACUAGCAAAUAUACAAUGUCAACUUCCUUAAUUUUUUUCUCAAGUUCAUGUAUAGUGUAUCAAAAUAAACAUGCAAUAUU